AUCCCGUCUUGGGGGAGCGGCACAGCAGUGGAAGGAAGCAGAAGGGCCGCGGGGGCGCAGUCCUCCUCCGUCGACGAUGAUCGUCUUCGACUCCUCCGCCUUCAAGGUCUGCCGUGCCGUCAUUCUUUCCGCAUGGGAUCCUCGUUCGCCCUCUAUUCCUGUCGGCCUCCCCACGAAGAAGCCGCUCAAGUGUUCGACCGGAGUCCUUCCGACCACCACCGAUCCCGGUAAGAACUGAGUCGGCGGUGAGGGGUUUAUCUGCAAACAGUUCUCCAUUUCCAGGAUAGAGAUAGAAUCGAGGCCGCUACCGAAGCCGGUGUUGGAGCAGAAGUUAGAGGCCGCAGGGAAUCUGAUGAGAUGGAUAUUGGUCUCUACGCGAACGAAGCUGCAAAGUGCGAUAGAGACGGAAUUCUGAAGACUUAUCGUGCAAUUCCCUUUCUGAAACCUAUCAACCAUGAGCAUUAAUACGGAAGGGAUUCUACUAGUGUGACAGUAGUCUGCUUAUGCGCCUUCUGUAUCUCAAUCGCUAAUUUUACCUAGUCUUCUUCCCUUUCCUCUCUUGAACUCUCACUAAGAUAACAAUUGGAAUUAAACUGGAAUGCAUCAGUAACCCAUUUGUCAUCCUUUUAUGUUUUUAAAUACUCAUUAAUUCACAACUGAUCUGAUUCUUCCUCUAUCAAGCAUUUUUAUGAUUACAUUUGGAGUCACAGCAGAAUGCAUAAAAAACCUUUUCAUUUUCAUGCAAUCAAUCAACCGUUAUUCCUCUCUCUCGGACAUCAUAAUAACAUUUGGAAUUAUGUGGUAUAUUGAACACUCAUUUAACUCCCAAUUAAUGUUUCUUCCUCCUCUCUUGACUCAUGGUGGUAACAUUUGGAAUUACAUCGAUCAUUUCUUUUCUUUAGUUUCAUUUUCAUAAGAAAAUAAUUUAUGUAGCAUACCAGAUUGUUCUUUCUUAAAAAAAAUCUGAUGGUUCUUCCUUUCUUCAGCUUUGGUGCAAGGUUGCUUGGUUCUUUGGUGUCGAGGACACAUGCUAGGCAAUACCAUUAAUCCAGUUGCAAAUGGUGCAUCCAUUUAAGUUGAUCGGUAUCAUUUUCAUAGUUGUUAUUAACUAAACUAUGCGUCACAAAAAUGGAUGAUUAAGAAAAUCAACCAAUUGCAUUUGUAAAUGAUAUGGGUCAGGUUCAUGGAUCCCUGGAUUUUUGUAGACUGAGUGGUCUUUUUAAGUUAAAUCAAGCUUAUCUGAGAACUUGCUAUGCUGUUACAUUCAAAAUUUUAAUUUUUGCCAAUCUGAUGUAUCCUUGAAAGUAAUUGGUGUUCUUGAAGAAGCCUGUGGUGAUGGUACCUUUUCAACAGACUCAGCUUCUAAGUCAUGUCCAUUGGAGGCUGAAAUAAGUCAGAACAAAAUCUGCAUAUGAGUGGGUACUGAAAUGAAAUAAAACCAGUGUGAUUCUUACAGCUGAGGUCAAUCUAUAAUACCUUGUGGAUGAAACAUUUCAUUAUUAGGAGGUGACUGUUUUCUUGACUGACCAGUAGGCAAGUCUUGAGAAUGCCUACAUGCAAAUCUUCUGAUUCCAGCUAGCUGCACCCAGUGAAUCCUCAUAUGAUGAGACCACUUCUUGAUGUGAACCACAAGAAGUUCUAUGAACAGAUUAGCAUCAGCCAUUAAUGACCUACACCCCUUUCCAGUCAGAUGGAAGCCGAAGAUUCACCAUGUAUUCCUGUCAAUUUCUUUUAGAAUACUGAGGUCAGAAUAUCUGGUGCCAAUAGCUCUUCCAGGCGAAGAGGGGAACCAAACACCAGGACAAGGCUCGGUGGUUGAUGAAAUGUUUCUUAUGUAUUAAACAUUGUAGGUCUGAUCUAAAUGAAUAAAUAUUAGAGUGUUGGUAGUUUUUAUUCUUCCUAUCCCUUGACCAAGAGAUGUGUGUGCUGGGAAGCUGGUGGACAACCAAGGAUGCUGGUUCCGGUUGUUCCAGCAAUGAUGUAUCUAAUAGGUGGAGUGAGUAAGUAGGCUGUAAAA